rnacentral:ncRNA from 2 species
AUAAUUGCAGGAUUGAUGGGUGCUUACGGCUAAAUAGAACACCAUUCUGUCGCUGCGUAAGUUAAAUGGGAAACAGGAUGCUCAUACUCCACCCACUCCUUUAGGAACUGAGCAAAACUGUGCUGCCCCCGCAACGGUAAUGAUUAAUUUGUCUCCUAUCUAAUUUUUCAAGCCCGAUACCAGCCCGCAAUCUACCUGGUUU